AGAAAGAAAAAAAGAUAAUAUGUAUAAUACAUGGAAAAGUUAAUGACAAGUCUUUGAAAUUAAGAAAGUACUUGCAAGCCAAAAUGCUGGUCUAAUAUUAAAUCUAGAAGAAAAAUGUAGAACAACUAUACACAUCUUUGAUUUCCUGAUUGGAAAUCAAACAAUUGCACAAUGAGUCAGGGAGAUUCAUUACCAAUUGAAUCUGGGAGAUUCAUUACCAAUUGAAUCUGGGAGAUUCAUUCAUAGAUUACUAAGGGACAAGGCUAGUUCCAACCAAGGGCUGCACUCACACCCGUAGAUGGGGGACUGAAUGAUAAAGGAUGGGUAUCGUCAGGACUGGGCCCAGUACCCCAAAAAACUUUUCAGGAAUUAUCAGACCCAGGAUGUGAACCAGAGUCCUUCUGUGUAGCAGCUGAUAGUGUUAUCACUUGGCCAUUCAGCUGCCAAUAAUUUAUGUUUAUAAUGAGGAAGGUUCUUCCUUGUUUGACACUUUUUUUUGUUAAGAAAUCAUCUAAUGUGGUUUGUCUUUUCCUUUUUCGUUCAGCAAACAAUUGCCAACAGCAAGAUAUUGUAUCCAUGACAUUUUGUCUUGCCUUUGAAUCUUAUCAAAAAUCAUUUUGGAUCAUUUUGUAUAAACUGAUCCAUAAUUUCCGUAAUAGUGGUUAAACUUCUUUUGAGAAAAUCCCUUGCAAGUUUCUUUUGUAAAAUAAUGUUGAUGAAUGAUCAUAAAUAUGACUGGAGCAGACUUUCAUAUGUACUGCACUGC
rnacentral:lncRNA from 1 species